AGAUGUCUCAAAUUAUAGCCAUUUGGGUAAUAGAGAUUUGCGCUUAUAGAAUUUGCAGAUCGUCAUCCAAAAGUCAUCUCUGGAAUGCAAUUUGCUCCAACAGAAUUUAUGUGAGGAUAAAAUUAAGCAAAGGAUCAGGCAACUGUAAGCCAGCUGUCCCUGAUGGAUUUGGCGGGGAGUGAGGGAACUACCAGGACUAAAGCUGAAGGCAGCAAAUUGCGAGAGGCAGACUGAAGCUGAAGAUAGAGUUAAAAGACUGCAGACAUCUGGAGAAGGAUCAUUACUAGUAAUCGUGAGCCUCUCUGUUAAUGCACCCCAUGAGAAAGAAGCCAACAGCCUGCAUAUUUCUGCAAACUGUUCCCAGAAAGAACCAAUUUCCUGACUUCCAUGUGGUGUCAAUAACGGAGGCAUGAGAUGGAGUUGUCCAUAUGAAAUAUUAAAUCUACUCGCAGGACCAGAAUGAGCAAAUUCAGACCACCUGUGAGAAGAAGGUUUGUGGUAGAUUUGACGAUUUGGUUCAUCUAAUUCGCACCGGUGUACAGACAUGGCGGAGAAGAAGCAACUGGAAACGCGAUGCUACCAAGCGGACCAAUCACAGUUGUUGCGGUCUGUGUUGCUGCGAUGCAUGAGUUACUUUUUGGGGGAGGUGAACGUCACCUUAGGGUACACGGUACCUACGGCGUAGAUGCGACGCAGAAGUAUAAAUCAGGCUUUACAGGGUAAGGACAGAAGAUAUAUUUUCCUGCUGGAGUGAAUUAGAUGUGUUUUUAUCACAUUCCAGUCCAUACCGGUUCCUUAUAUCUAAGGUUAGCUACUUCUCUUUUUAAAUUCCAGAUUCUUAUUUAAAUCUGUUAAGACUGUUAAUCUCUGGAUCAUUAGGCCAGAGUUUUGCAGCAUUCUGAAAUUUAAUCACCAGGCCAUUAUAAAGAAAGGCACAGGGAUUAGGCCAGGGAGUUGUAAUGAUGGAGAUUAGAAAGAGGUGAUAAUCAGAGGAGCAUGGAGGACUUGAGGGUAUACAGGGUAAGGAGAAGAGAGGCCCAUGGUGGGAUGGGAAUUUUUCAGGCCAGGCAGUAAUGCAAUUCAAUGGUGAUCACUGAACAGGCACUGCAAAGGAAAGGGUUUAGUUGAAAUGUAUGCCAGAUGAAAAAGGGAGGUUAGUAGGACAGUGUUUAGUACGUUGGUUAUAGAAUUUUCCAAGCACAGAAGGAAUUAAAAUGAUCAUAAAAAGCGAAUACUGAACAUUCUCCUCCAAUAGAUAAAGUAGUAAGGGUAAAAUGGUUUUGCUAAACAGUUAAUUUCUUUAUAAAACAAAUGUUAGUCUCGACCUGCCCAACCACUGGGACGAAACAAGAGAUACACUAGUUAUUACGAUCGUGCUAAGUAAUUGAAGAAAAGUAAGGUAUAUUGUCAAACCAUAACAAAGGAGCAUUUCUAUUAGGAGAAAAAACAGGUGCAUUGCGACAUGUUAACAUUUUUAUUUAACAGUGAUUAUGCAACUGAUGUAAAGUUGAUGCACUUGACAGAAAGUUGGUGUUUUAUGGCAGCAAUCCAGAAAUAAUGGCAUUUUUGCUUUGAAGCUUCAAUCAGCAGGAGUACAAACCUUGCCAAGUAAGAGGAACUAACUCUACUUGUAUUAACACUUGUAUUCUGUUGAAGGCUAAAUGCCAAACUCUACAAAGCUAGAUCAGAAACUACUACAGAGAAUUCUUAGAACAAUUAAAUGAUGAAACAUAAGUGAAACUAUAGCACAGGAUGAAUAUAGUAGUUUAAGCAUAGUGAAUUGUAUAUUGAGAUAUUGAAAACAUUUCAUUUGUCCUGUCUUUGUUCUACAGCUCAACAUUCAAUAUUAUCAUCUGCUCAAAACUAAUCAAGACCUUGGCCUCAAUACUUCCUUGUGCAAUUGGAUCCACGAUUUCCUCACUUGCAGGCCCCAGUCAGUUCAGAUUGGCAACACAAUCCCCUCCACGUCACCAUCAGCACAGGUGCAACGCGAGGCUGUGUGCUUAGUCCCCUGCUCUACUCACUUUACACUUAUGUCUGUGUGGCUUGGCACAGUUCCAAUGCCACAUUCAAAUUUGCAGAUAAUCUCACAGUCAUUGGCCAAAUCAAAGGUGGUGAUGAAUCCGCAUAUAGGAGGGAUAUUGAAUAUCUGGAUGAGUGGUGCCACAACAACAGCCCUUUACUCAAUAGCAGCAAGAUCAAAGAUGCUGAUUAUUGACUUCAGAAAGAGGAUUCCAGGGGUCCAUGAGCCAGUCCUCAUCGGAAUAUCAGAGGUGAAGAGGGUCAGCAACUUUAAAUUCCUCAGUGUUAUUAUUUCAGAGGACCUGUCCUGGGCCCACCAUGUAAGUGUAAUUAUGAAGAAAGCACGGCAGUGCCUUUACUUCCUUUGGAGGUUGUGAAUAUUCGGCAUGACAUCUAAAACUUUGGUAAACUUCUAUAGAUUUGUGGUGGAGGGUACAUUGACUGGCUAUAUCACAGCCUGGUAUAGAAACACCAAUGCCCUUGAACAGAGAAGUCAUGGAGACAGCCUAGUAUAUCCUCACCAUUGAGCACGUCUACAUGGAAUGUAGGCACAGGAAAGCAGCAUCCAUCAUCAGGGACCCAUACCACCCAGCUCAUGCUCUCUUCUCACUGCUUCCAUCAAGAAGAAGGUACAGGAGCCUCAGAGCUCACACCAGCAGGUUCAGGAACAGUUAUUACCUCUCAACCAUCAGGCCCUUGAAACAAAGGGGACAACUUCACUCAACUUCAGUUGUCCUAUCAAUGAACUGUUCUCACAACCUAUGGAUUCACUUUCAAGGACUCUUCAUCUCAUGUUCUCAAUAUUUAUUUAUUUGUUUGUUUAUUAUUUCUUUCUUUUUGUAUUUGCAAUUUGUUGUCUUUUGAACACUGGUUGAUCGCCCAAGUUGAUGCGGUCUUUCACUGAUUCUAAUAUGGUUAUGAUUCUAUUAUGAUUUACUGAGUAUGAACAUAGAAUAGUACAGCACAUUACAGGCCCUUCAGCCCACAAUCUUAAGCCGACCCUUAAACCCUGCCUCCCAUAUAACCCCCACCUUAAAUUCCUCCAUAUACCUGUCUAGUAGUCUCUUAAAUUUCACUAGUGUAUCUGCCUCCACCGCUGACUCAGGCAGUGCAUUCCACGCACCAGCCACUCUCUGAGUAAAAAACCUUCCUCUAAUAUCCCCCUUGAACUUCCCACCCCUUACCUUAAAGCCAUGUCCUCUUGUACUGAGCAGUGGUGCCCUGGGGAAGAGGUGCUGGCUAUCCACUCUAUCUAUUCCUCUUAAUAUCUUGUACACCUCUAUCAUGUCUCCUCUCAUCCUCCUUCUCUCCAAAGAGUAAAGCCCUAGCUCCCUUAAUCUCUGAUCAUAAUCUAAACCAGGUAGCAUCCUGGUAAAUCUCCUCUGUACCCUUUCCUUUGCUUCCACAUCCUUCCUAUAGUGAGGCAACCAGAACUGUACACAGUACUCCAAGUGUGGCCUAACCAGAGUUUUAUAGAGCUGCAUCAUUACAUCACGACUCUUAAUCUCUAUCCCUCGACUUAUGAAAGCUAACACCCCAUAAGCUUUCUUAGCUAUCUACCUGUGAGGCAACUUUCAGGGACCCCCAGAUCCCUCUGCUCCUCCACACUCCCAAGUAUCCUGCCAUUUACUUCGUACUCUGCCUUGGAGUUUGUCCUUCCAAAGUGUACCACCUCACACUUCUGCAGGUUGAACUCCAUCUGCCACUUCACAGCCCACUUCUGCAUCCUAUCAAUGUCUCUCUGCAAUCUUCGACAAUCCUCUACACUAUCUACAACACCACCAACCUUUGUGUAUGCCCUCAGAAAAAUGAAUCUCAGGGUUGUUCAUGGAGAUAUGUAUGUAAUUUGAUAAUAAAUUUACUUUGAACUUAAUUAUUUACUUUUCUACAAAGACAACUUGAUGGCAGUUUUUUUUUCUGUUUUUACUUUAGUAAUGGCUUUAAACUCACUUGGCAUUGGUUAACUCAAAUGAUGAAGGUAGGAGAGCAGAAAUAUUACAGGAAACCUGGUCUCUGCCUAAAUCCAUCUGGGAUUCUGGUUCAAUGACUAAGAGAUAUUCACAGCAGACUCUGUUCAUACUCUGCAUUGAUCUAGUUUGUAUUCGAU